rnacentral:rRNA from 1 species
UGACGGGGUUACCCAAAGUGUUCUUAUUGAACUGUGGUAGGUGAGUAAUGUCCCCUACUAGAAAGGAGAGGGCAAGGCUGGUGCCAGCCGCCGCGGUAAAACCAGCUCUUCAAGUGGUCGGGAUAAUUAUUGGGCUUAAAGUGUCCGUAGCCGGUUUAGUUAGUUCCUGGUAAAAUCGGGUAGCUUAACUAUCUGUAUGCUAGGAAUACUGCUAUACUAGAGGGCGGGAGAGGUCUGAGGUACUACAGGGGUAGGGGUGAAAUCUUAUAAUCCUUGUAGGACCACCAGUGGCGAAGGCGUCAGACUGGAACGCGCCUGACGGUGAGGGACGAAAGCCAGGGGAGCGAACCGGAUUAGAUACCCGGGUAGUCCUGGCCGUAAACGAUGCAUACUAGGUGAUGGCACGGCUAUGAGCCGUGUCAGUGCCGUAGGGAAACCGUUAAGUGUGCCGCCUGGGAAGUACGGUCGCAAGG